UGGGGAAUAUUGCACAAUGGGCGCAAGCCUGAUGCAGCCAUGCCGCGUGUGUGAAGAAGGCCUUCGGGUUGUAAAGCACUUUCAGCGGGGAGGAAGGCGUUAAGGUUAAUAACCUUGGCGAUUGACGUUACCCGCAGAAGAAGCACCGGCUAACUCCGUGCCAGCAGCCGCGGUAAUACGGAGGGUGCAAGCGUUAAUCGGAAUUACUGGGCGUAAAGCGCACGCAGGCGGUCUGUCAAGUCGGAUGUGAAAUCCCCGAGCUCAACCUGGGAACUGCAUUCGAAACUGGCAGGCUAGAGUCUUGUAGAGGGGGGUAGAAUUCCAGGUGUAGCGAUGAAAUGCGUAGAGAUCUGGAGGAAUACCGGUGGCGAAGGCGGCCCCCUGGACAAAGACUGACGCUCAGGUGCGAAAGCGUGGGGAGCAAACAGG
rnacentral:rRNA from 1 species